GGGCUUGUGGUGAAAUGGUAUCACACUCCUGGGUUCAUUUGUGUCGCUUUGCGGACUGAAGCCGCGAACGUUAUUCGUUUGCAGAUGGUUCCUCGUCUAUGAACUUGCCUUCACAUACAGCGCCAUGGACUCACACUGCAGAUCGGAACAGUUGAAGAGUGAGCAACUUCUAAUUUUCCAACAGUCUUCGAAGAUACGGGAAAGGUGUGCAAGCACACCAGUAAUCCAGGAGAGAACGUCGGUUCGAUUCCGACCUUGCCCA
rnacentral:tRNA from 1 species